AAAUAAAAAGAGAAAGUGAGAUGAAUAUUGCUAUGUUUUUUUUCAUGGGUUUGAUUUUCUCUUUUUUUUUUCAUGGGUUUGAUUUUCUCUUCCUUAUAAAUUUUGCUGUGUUUUUUUUAUGAAAAAAUCAUUUUAAUAAUGAAAAGUCCUAUUACAUUUAUAAUCGAACAAAUAUAAAAUAGAAAUGAUUACUGAUUAAUCUAUUUUUUUAUGAAAUCAUGUGAUUUGUUGAAGAUGAGAUAUCUAUGAGUAGCUUUUUUCCCACAUCCGAUUGAACUUAAUCUUGUUUGAACUAUUGAAGAUCAUACUCAUAAAAAUAUAGAAAAAAAUUAAAAUCUCAUCGAAGAGAGAAAAAAUGUAACUCACCCCGGGUUCGACUCUGGCUCACCCCGAGAAUUAUUAGAACAGAUACUAAGUUGUAAGGCAUAUAAGCCUGCAUUGUCAAAAAAAUAACUAGAGAUAAAUAAAUUUUAGAUUUGAAGUGGAAUCACAUAAAAUAGAACCAGAAUCAUAGAAACAGGAGGAUUGGAAAUCCUGCUUGAAAUAGAGAAGAAAGACAUAGAAGAAAGACAGAGACAGUGAAAUCUUUAAUUCUUUUGGAUCUAAGAGUUCUCGCGAUAAUAGAUCAUUCUUUUAGAUCUAAGAAUUCUCGUGAUAAUAGAUCUAGAACAGAAUCACAAAACCAAAAGAAAUUAUAAACUGAGAUAAAAGAAUUUUCAAAAGAAUAUAUUUACAGGGGUGUAUUCGAUUGGGAUUUUAAUGCAUUGUUUUUAGUCUAUUGAUUUUAAUAGAUUGUAUGAGAUUUUGAUUUUGUGCGGAUUCUUGAUGAAAUGUCGCAGAGUUGAUAGGAUUUAGGUAAAAUGCUUCGAAAUCCCAUUGAAUUUGGUGGGAUUUCAAAAAAUUUAAAAUACACUGAAAAAUGCCACAAAAUCCAUCAUUUUAUGAAAUGAAAAAAAAUCCAUCAGCAUUUGAAUAUCAUCAGAUUUUAAUGGAUUUUAAACAAUCCCAAUUGAAUACCAUCAGAUUUUAAAGCAUAAUUUAAAAUCCCAAUUGAAUACCACCAGAUUUUGUAGCAUAAUUUAAAAUCCCAAUUUAAUACCUCAAGAUUUUAACGGAUUUCAAACAAUCCCAAUCGAAUACACUCGGAUUUCAUAAAUGCAAAAAAAUGCUUUAAAAUCCCAAUCCAAUACACCCCUCUUAGAACAGAAUCACAAAAAUAAAAGAAAUCAAACUGAAACAAAAAAAAUCAAACUUAAAAUCCACCUACUGUAUUUGGAAAACUGAUAGCAAAAUUGUUUGGAUUUAGUAGUCGUUUGACUUUUUUGCACGCACUUCUAAGAAUUUUGACCGCACGCAUAAAAUUGUUGUUUUUAAAUUUUUUUCUUUUGUGAAUGAAAAUAUAUCACUAAUAUUUUUAUCCACAAAAAAAAUUAUAUAUAAUUAUUUUAGGUUUGUGGUCAAAACUCUUAAAUAUGUGCGCAAAAAAAUCAAGAGACAAUUAUAUCCAAACAGAAGGAGUAUAAAUUAGUGUUUCGCCUAUAUCUGAUAUUAAACCUUAAAUUAGUACAAGAUUCAACGUGUAUUUUAUUAUCUUGCAACAAAUUCAAUUCAUUGCAGGACAAUGACGAUGAUUUCAGUGCCAAUCAUAGUAAUGUCCAACUACAUCUUUGUUUUGUAUGUGAUUAUUAUUUUAUUUGUUAGGAUUUCUGUGAUUGAACACGAUUAUUAUGAAAUUAUUAUUUUAUGGUAUGCAUGAUUUAGAAGUACUGCUUGUUGUUCACCGGUUUAAAAGUGCAGGAUAGGAUAGGGAGAAAAAACGAAUGUGCAGGACAAAUAUCUGUAGCCCUUGGAUGUGUAAAAAAUGGAUAGUUGUAAUUAAGUCUCAAAAGCCUCCAAAAAAUAUGAUCUUCAUAAAACUUUCACACACACAUCAUGAUGAGAGUCGAGACACCCCCCCCCUCCUCCCAUUUUCUCUUCCCAAACUCUUUUCUCAUUUUCUUUAAUAAUCUACUUUCUAUAUAUAAUAUAUAAGGUAACCAAGGGCAAAAUAUGCUAGAAAAAUGCCUGUGAAAUGACGAGUAUGCCCUUGAAUUAUUCAGAAUGACCCUUUUGUCAUAACCAAUCAGACAACACAGAGCAAGACUCUUCCGUUGCUUUCUCAAAGUUUAGAAAAGAUUCAGAAUGAUCCACGCCGGUUCUUGUCCUCCUAAUCCAUAUUAUAUCUUAGGGGCUUCUGAUCAAGUCCUCAUGCAGAGAUAAGUGACUGAACUCCAACAUGGAUAAGUUUUGUUUAGUUGCAGUUCGACUUGGGUUCGUUUUUGCGGCGUGGAGUUGGUUUCCGGAAUCUAUUAUGAAUAGGAGAAAGAACCUAAAGGGUGAGAUAAAUCCUACAUAGGCAGCGUUGGGAUCACGUCGUGCUUGGGCAGGGCAGUUUCUAACCAAAGAGCUGGAGCCUGGAAGAGUACAUCUGAUUCAGUUAACAAACACCAAACUAGGUUGAUGUUGCACCGCAGCAAAUGUGUUCAAAGCCAUUCAGAGAGCAACUAAUUUAUUUCUUUAUAUUUCAUGCAUAUUCUAUCUCACUUUUUUAGUUGCGCAUCUGCACCAUUACUAGAGUUAUCUAUUGCAUAUUGCAAUACAAACAUUGCAUAAUGUUCACUGUCACCAUAUAAGCAAUAUUGGAAAGAAUCUUACAACAAUUAGAUAUUAAUGCUAUGUUAUCUUCUUAGACGGGCAGGAUUUACCGAAGCAAGAGGGAGACUAUCCAUUUAGCCAUCACAAGCUAACCAUUCGAUUUUAUGAAGCAUCAGCAGCUCACUAGCUCAGGAUCGGAAACUGGAAGGGUUGGUUCUUUAUGCUAUUUUGAAAUUAUGGAGGCCUAAUCCAGCUGAAUUAACUCUACUAUUGACUUGGAAGAAAUGAUUCUGCUCUUCUUACAAUUUCUCCAAGUGCAGUUACUUUGACUGGUAGCAGUGACCCUUGCUACAUCGAAGCAUAUCAUUUGACAUAUUCUAAUGACGGCACCCUAAGUAAGCAAGAGGCCAUGAUGCAAGCAUUGCAUAGAGAUGGUGAAAGUUCUUUGUCUCUGAUGGGCCCCAGACCUAUGGAAUUAUCUACUACUCCACAUGCUGGUUCUCAUGCCUCCAGGUCAAAUGGAAAGCAGCGAAUAUCAAACUUUGAGUCACCAAUUAUGAUACACUAUAAAAUUUAAUCUGACUGGAAAUGUGAUUGCCUAUGGAUCUCAUGUAUGGAUCUCAUGACAGAAAUUUUCCUUUGGAAUGUCCAUGAAAAAUGAUCACGCUGACAGCUCGAGCACAUUCUGGAUUUGAGAAGAUCAAUCAAAUAGAUGUGAAGGUCUCUACAUCAAAUGCUGGAUAACUAAAGAGUUACCUGUAUAUAAAAUAUAAGAUGACUUAACCACCUAUCCACCUGUUACCUGUAGAUGCGACAUUGCUCUCAAAGUUGAUCACCUAUCCACCUGUUACCAGUAUACGCAACAUUGUUUUUUAGGUUACAAGUUGAGCCUGAUGGUUUAUUUUAUCGGCAAUCAGUAGUCCAACAUCUCAGUUGCCUCAUCCUUGGAUUUCUUGACGGUAUCAGCCUUGUGGUAUAGGUGCUCCGCCAUAUCUCUGAGAUCCUUUACCUGCUUAAUGUAAUAUUACGAUACUGCUUUUAUUUUAUUUGUAUUUUUGAGAGCAUUGCUUUGUGGUUUUUUUUCCCUUUUUCCUGUGAUAAUGCCAACACAACUGAAAUGCUCAAAACAGUAACAUAUACACGUGGUUAUUCUUAGUGCAGAUGUUUGUUUAAAUGAUGGUGGUCCAUGAUUUUUGUAAAGAGGUCCUUUGUGUCUAUUAACAUGUGGGAGUUACUUUCAAGUUCAAGUGCCACUAUAUUGAUUGAUUUCUUAUUUGUUGCAAAUUUCGGAAUUGCUUGGAGGCUGAUGGGCCAGUGGAUAUGAGUUAUGUGUAAGACCACCAAUUGGCUGGUUGUUCUUGAUAUACAAGAUUUUCUAAAGCAUUGAGACAGAGCUCGACAGAUACAAGUCAGGGUUUUGUGCGCGAAAGCCGAAAGGUGAUAGCUUGAUAUGAUGAGAUGAUCCAGGCUGAUACAAAUUUUCUGAAAGUGCAGAGUUCAUUCACAAAUAGCACAAAACUAAUUAGCAUAAGUCUUCAUGUCUCAAAGAGAAUGAUAUCUAAGCUCUCAACUACACUCUUAUUUAAAUAUGGACAAGUGUAUGUUUUAAAAUGUGUUGUCGCCUUUUCUGCUCGGCAACAUAUUUCCAUAAAGGAGGACAUCAAAACGGUGUGUUGAGUA